rnacentral:rRNA from 1 species
UGUGAUGGACGCUUGCCCCGAAGAUUAAGCCAUGCAAGUCUGUGAAUGAUUGAAACAGUGAACGGCUCAGUAUAACACGUCUAUCUACCCAUGAUUCCAAGCAAACCGUGGUAAACUAUGGCUAAUAUUAUGGAUGAGGAUGUGACCUAUCAGCUUGACGGUACGAUAAGUGCGUACCGAGGCGAUAACGGGUAACGGGGAAUAUGGGUUUUAUUCCGGAGAGGGAGCCUGAGAGAUGGCUGCCACGUCCAAGGACGGCAGCAGGCGCGAAACUUACCCAAUGAACAUUGAGGUAGUUACGGGGCGUACUUGUAUGCAGGAUGUGUAAAGAGCAUGCCGAAGUAUUGGAGGGCAAGUCUGGUGCCAGCAGCCGCGGUAAUACCAGCUCCAAUAGCGUCUGUGUUUAUUGCUGCGGUUAAAACGUGCGUAGUCUGGUUUUGUAGCGUGCGUUAAAGAUGUAUUUUCAUAGUACAGACAAUGUCACAUACUACAGCCUUGAGACAGGGAAGAGGUGAUGUUAUUUGGUAGCGAGAGGUGAAAAUCGAUGACCUACCAAGGAGCACCUGAGGCGAAAGCGAUCACCGAGAACUGGUCUGACGAUCAAGCACGUGAGCAGGAGUAUCGAAGAGGAUUAGAGACCCACGUAGUUCCUUGCAGUCAACAAUGCCAACACUGUGGUGCUCUUUUGCAUUGCARAAGCGAAAGCUAGUGUAUGGGCUCCGGGGAUAGUACGGACGCAAGUUUGAAACUUGAAGAAAUUGACGGAAGGACACCACAAGGAGUGGAGUGUGCGGGUUAAUUUGACUCAACGCGGGAAAACUUACCCGGGCAGGCGAAUGUUGUGAGAUGGUAGUGUACCAAAUGACUUCGCGCGUGGUGCAUGGCCGUUCUUAACACGUGGAGUGAUCUGUCUGGUCAAAUCUGAUAACGCGUGAGAGGUGAGUAAAUGUGUGGUAACAUGUUUAGACGGUGGCUGUAAGGCCAAGGAAGCGACACCCAAUAACAGGUCUGUGAUGCCCGUANAUGUCCGGGGCUCCACGCGCACUACAAUGGUG